rnacentral:rRNA from 1 species
UACGGAGGAUGCAAGCGUUAUCCGGAAUGAUUGGGCGUAAAGCGUCCGCAGGUGGCCAUGUAAGUCUGCUGUUAAAGAGUCUAGCUCAACUAGAUAAGAGCAGUGGAAACUACAUAGCUAGAGUACGUUCGGGGCAGAGGGAAUUCCUGGUGUAGCGGUGAAAUGCGUAGAGAUCAGGAAGAACACCGGUGGCGAAGGCGCUCUGCUAGGCCGUAACUGACACUGAGGGACGAAAGCUAGGGGAGCGAAUGGG